ACAAUGAAGGAGCUUUGUAAGAGACAGAUUUUUGUUUUGGUGCUGAUGUAUGUAGGACUAUAUCUUUGUUUCCCCUCAUAAUUAUAGGAAGCAGAGACUCUCAGUGGUCUGUUCCUUAGUCUCUCCCAUACAAACCCUUUCACUCCCACCCCAUUUAAGGUACCUUCACCAACAUUCGAUAGAAAGGAUCGAAGAAGCCCCCUCACCGUCAAGGCGCUGACCACAGCAGCAGCUGAAGAUGAGGACGACACAGGC
rnacentral:lncRNA from 1 species